rnacentral:misc_RNA from 1 species
GUGAAUCAUCGAAUUUUUGAACGCAAAUUGCACUCUCCUCGGUGAGUAUGCCUGUUUGAGGGUCAGCCUAUAAAAAAUCAUCAUCGUUGCUGUUUCGCGGUGGCGGUCGUCGGAUAUCGGGUCAUCUUAAAUCCUUUUGCUUGAAGCCACUUAAAAUUUUCUUUUGGUUCCAUGAUCGUUUCUAUGAUCUAUUUCUGUAUACGUUUGAGGAAUCGAUUUUUACUAGACGUGACCAUCAUGUCG